AUGCGGACAGAUGGGAGCUUGCUCCCUGAUGUUAGCGGCGGACGGGUGAGUAACACGUGGGUAACCUGCCUGUAAGACUGGGAUAACUCCGGGAAACCGGGGCCGGAUGGUUGUUUGAACCGCAUGGUUCAAACAUAAAAGGUGGCUUCGGCUACCACUUACAGAUGGACCCGCGGCGCAUUAGCUAGUUGGUGAGGUAACGGCUCACCAAGGCAACGAUGCGUAGCCGACCUGAGAGGGUGAUCGGCCACACUGGGACUAAUACUGAGACACGGCCCAGACUCCUACGGGAGGCAGCAGUAGGAAUCUUCCGCAAUGGACGAAAGUCUGACGGAGCAACGCCGCGUGAGUAGACUGAGAUGAAGGUUUUCGGAUCGUAAAGCUCUGUUGUUAGGGAAGAACAAGUACCGUUCGAAUAGGGCGGUACCUUGACGGUACCUAACCAGAAAGCCACGGCUAACUACGUGCCAGCAGCCGCGGUAAUACGUAGGUGGCAAGCGUUGUCCGGAAUUAUUGGGCGUAAAGGCUCGCAGGCGGUUUCUUAAGUACCGGGGAGGGUCAUUGGAAACUGGGGAACUUGAGUGCAGAAGAGGAGAGUGGAAUUCCACGUGUAGCGGUGAAAUGCGUAGAGAUGUGGAGGAACACCAGUGGCGAAGGCGACUCUCUGGUCUGUAACUGACGCUGAGGAGCGAAAGCGUGGGGAGCGAACAGGAUUAGAUACCCUGGUAGUCCACGCCGUAAACGAUAGUGCUAAGUGUUAGGGGGUUUCCGCCCCUUAGUGCUGCAGCUAACGCAUUAAGCACUCCGCCUGGGGAGUACGGUCGCAAACUCAAAGGAAUUGACGGGGGCCCGCACAAGCGGUGGAGCAUGUGGUUUAAUUCGAAGCAACGCGAAGAACCUUACCAGGUCUUGACAUCCUCUGACAAUCCUAGAGAUAGGACGUCCCCUUCGGGGGCAGAGUGACAGGUGGUGCAUGGUUGUCGUCAGCUCGUGUCGUGAGAUGUUGGGUUAAGUCCCGCAACGAGCGCAACCCUUGAUCUUAGUUGCCAGCAUUCAGUUGGGCACUCUAAGGUGACUGCCGGUGACAAACCGGAGGAAGGUGGGGAUGACGUCAAAUCAUCAUGCCCCUUAUGACCUGGCUACACACGUGCUACAAUGGACAGAACAAAGGGCAGCGAAACCGCGAGGUUAAGCCAAUCCCACAAAUCUGUUCUCAGUUCGGAUCGCAGUCUGCAACUCGACUGCGUGAAGCUGGAAUCGCUAGUAAUCGCGGAUCAGCAUGCCGCGGUGAAUACGUUCCCGGGCCUUGUACACACCGCCCGUCACACCACGAGAGUUUGUAACACCCGAAGUCGGUGAGGUAACCUUUUAGGAGCCAGCCGCUG
rnacentral:rRNA from 1 species